GUGGGGAAUCUUAGACAAUGGGCGCAAGCCUGAUCUAGCCAUGCCGCGUGAGCGAUGAAGGCCUUAGGGUUGUAAAGCUCUUUCAGGGGGGAAGAUAAUGACGGUACCCCCAGAAGAAGCCCCGGCUAACUCCGUGCCAGCAGCCGCGGUAAUACGGAGGGGGCUAGCGUUGUUCGGAAUUACUGGGCGUAAAGCGCACGUAGGCGGACCAGAAAGUCAGGGGUGAAAUCCCGGGGCUCAACCCCGGAACUGCCUUUGAAACUCCUGGUCUUGAGGUCGAGAGAGGUGAGUGGAAUUCCGAGUGUAGAGGUGAAAUUCGUAGAUAUUCGGAGGAACACCAGUGGCGAAGGCGGCUCACUGGCUCGAUACUGACGCUGAGGUGCGAAAGCGUGGGGAUCAAACAGGAUUAGAAACCCUUGUAGUCC
rnacentral:rRNA from 1 species